UUUUCUUGCAAUUUCCCAUGUAUCAUGUCUGAUCCUAUCAGCUCAAUACUUUUACUUUUCCAGCUGCAGAUGGAUGUCGUCGAAUCUGAAAGGGUUACAAGGACCGGUGGUUAAGACAAAUGAUUUUUCGACGGACAACGCCAUAAUUGGCAACGGUGACGAGGAGCAAAGGGCAUGACGACCUUGAACGCGUUCGAUUUGAUUUCGUUCUCGGCUAGGCUGGACCUGUCGGGGUUGUUCGAGCCGUUGAGCAGCAAACCGACGGAAGACGGCGAGCGAUUUAACAGAAAACUUACAGAGAUAGAGAGAGAAGAGAUUGGUUACUGGUUCUUGACGGAGAGGAAAAUGGAGGUGGGCAGAUUUUUAGGGUUUAUCUUUAAUUAUCGCGAUAAAUUUGAGGAUUGACGGAGUUUGCGAACGCGGAGAAGCUGAAGGUAAGGAGGAAGAAGAAUAAGGUCUGGAUAUGGAAGGCAGAAUGAGAUUUAUCAAUCGGGGAGGAGGUUUGCAGAUUGACAGAUAAUUUGGUGGUGAUGGAAAAAGGGUGCUCGGGGUG
rnacentral:sRNA from 1 species